CCUACGGGUGGCAGCAGUGAGGAAUAUUGGUCAAUGGACGCAAGUCUGAACCAGCCAUGCCGCGUGCAGGAAGACGGCUCUAUGAGUUGUAAACUGCUUUUGUACGAGGGUAAACGCAGAUACGCGUAUCUGUCUGAAAGUAUCGUACGAAUAAGGAUCGGCUAACUCCGUGCCAGCAGCCGCGGUAAUACGGAGGAUUCAAGCGUUAUCCGGAUUUAUUGGGUUUAAAGGGUGCGUAGGCGGUCGGAUAAGUUAGAGGUGAAAUCCCGAGGCUCAACUUCGGAAUUGCUUCUGAUACUGUUCGGCUUGAGAGUAGGGGCGGUAGGCGGAAGGUAUGGUGUAGCGGUGAAAUGCUUAGAGAUCAUAAAGAACACCGAUUGCGAAGGCAGCUUACCAAGCUACUUCUGACGUUGAGGCACGAAAGCGGGGGGAGCAAACAGGAUUAGAUACCCGGGUAGUC
rnacentral:rRNA from 1 species